rnacentral:rRNA from 1 species
AUGCCGCGGUGAAUACGUUCCCGGGCCUUGUACACACCGCCCGUCACACCACGAGAGUUGGCAACACCCGAAGUCGGUGGGGUAACUUUUGGAGCCAGCCGCCGAAGGUGGGGCCAAUGAUUGGGGUGAAGUCGUAACAAGGUAGCCGUAUCGGAAGGUGCGGCUGGAUCACCUCCUUUCU